UAUUUUUAGUUGCCAUUUGGAACUCUAGAAAGACUGCCGGUUAUAAACCGGAGGAAGGCGGGGAUGACGUCAAGUCAGCAUGCCCCUUACACCCUGGGCUACACACGUGCUACAAUGGACAAGACAAUGAGUCGCAAACUUGCGAAGGUUAGCUAAUCUAUAAACUUGUUCUAAGUUCGGAUUGUAGGCUGCAACUCGCCUACAUGAAGUUGGAAUCGCUAGUAAUCGCUGGUCAGCAAUACAGCGGUGAAUUCGUUCCCGGGCCUUG
rnacentral:rRNA from 2 species